UGAUUCCGUCACUGCUUUUCUUAACACUAAAUAUUCAAAAAUGGCGAAGUUACCCCUUGGGGUCUUUUUCAAAAAUCGGUACAAACGAAAGUGAAGGUGGUACAAAUGGGUACAAACGAUUAGGAAACAGCACCCGCAAGAAGAUUUGAAAAAUCUUCAAAAAUGGCGAAGUAACUUCUGGGGGGCUUUUUCAAAAAUCGGUACAAACGAACUCCUAUGGGUACAAACAAAAGUGAAGGUGGUACAAAUGGGUACAAACGAUUAGGAAACAGCACCCGCAAGAAGAUUUGAAAAAUCUUCAAAAAUGGCGAAGUAACUUCUGGGGGGCUUUUUCAAAAAUCGGUACAAACGAACUCCUAUGGGUACAAACGAAAGUGAAGGUGGUACAAACGGGUACAAACGACUAGGAAACAGCACCCGCAAGAAGAUUUGAAAAAUCUUCAAAAAUGGCGAAGUAACUUCUGGGGGGCUUUUUCAAAAAUCGGUACAAACGAACUCCUAUGGGUACAAACGAAAGUGAAGGUGGUACAAACGGGUACAAACGACUAGGAAACAGCACCCGCAAGAAGAUUUGAAAAAUCUUCAAAAAUGGCGAAGUAACUUCUGGGGGGCUUUUUCAAAAAUCAGUACAAACGAACUCCUAUGGGUACAAAUGAAAGUGAAGGUGGUACAAACGGGUACAAACGACUAGGAAACAGCACCCGCAAGAAGAUUUGAAAAAUCUUCAAAAAUGGCGAAGUAACUUCUGGGGGGCUUUUUCAAAAAUCGGUACAAACGAACUCCUAUGGGUACAAACGAAAGUGAAGGUGGUACAAACGGGUACAAACGACUAGGAAACAGCACCCGCAAGAAGAUUUGAAAAAUCUUCAAAAAUGGCGAAGUAACUUCUGGGGGGCUUUUUCAAAAAUCG